rnacentral:tRNA from 1 species
UGUUCUGUGGCUUAGUUGGGUAAUGCGCCGGAGUGGCGGUACGGAGUCGUGGGUUCGAAUUCCACCACAACAA